rnacentral:rRNA from 1 species
UACGGGGGGGAGCAAGCGUUGUUCGGAUUUACUGGGCGUAAAGGGCGCGUAGGCGGCGUGACAAGUCACUUGUGAAAUCUCCGGGCUUAACUCGGAACGGUCAAGUGAUACUGUCGUGCUAGAGUACAGAAGGGGCAACUGGAAUUCUCGGUGUAGCGGUGAAAUGCGCAGAUAUCAGGAGGAACACCGGUGGCGAAGGCGGGUCUCUGGGCAGUAACUGACGCUGAGGAGCGAAAGCGUGGGGAGCGAACAGG